CUCCGCUCCGCAGCCGGGCCCCGAGCGAGCUCCGCGCGCCCGGGCGGGAGCCGAGGGCUCCCCGGGUUCAAAGGGCCGCAGCCCCGAGGGAAUGCCCUCCUCGCUGUGCCCCGGGGGGCAGAAGCGGACUGCAGGGCGGUGGGACCGGCCUGGGCCACGCCAUUUGCAGCUUGGAACAGUAUGUCAGAAAUGGAGCCCAGUGGUGAAAGCACAAGACCAAAUCCCUGCCGAGUGGAGCUUGCAGUCUAAUGGACACGUGAACAUGGGCAAACACUUUUUAAUUAUCCUGAUCAAGUGAGGGGUACAUCUUUUUGCUGACCCCACUUGUAAUCAACUGUGAUCUCCUAGAAGCAGGCGAAUUGCUUGCUUCUAUCCUUCCCAACUAGCCAGAAGAGUGGGUCAUACAUUAUCCUGCCCCUUUGAAAAAUCCAGCUCCGUGAUUGAUUUCAUGACUGUCUGUAGCAGCAAAUUCCUCAGAAUGAAUUCUACCAGCCCAGAUUUAGUAAUUCUAACUUUUGAAAUCUCUUGGCGUGAGUGAAUCUUCACUGCACUCGAUUUCUUGCCCUGCUUUGGAGCUCUGCCAUCCCUGUAUUACCUUCCUUCAGGCAAAGAAGCUUGCUGGUGUAGAGAGAUCUCUCUAAAUGCUCCUCAUACAACUCAGAGAGACCAUAGAAGACACUGUUUCAGGACCGAUGGGCUGAACAGUUUUAAAACCUGGCUGUGAGGGGCGCCUGGGUGGCUCAGUUGGUUAGGCGACUGCCUUCGGCUCAGGUCAUGAUCCUGGAGUCCU